UCAGCCUCCUGAGUAGCUGGGACUACAGGUGGGUGCCACCAUGCCUGACUAAUUUUUGUAUUUCCUUUGAGACGGGGUCUUGUUAUGUUGCCCAUGGCUGGUUUCGAGCUUCUGGGCUCAAGCAAUCCGCCUGCCUUGGCAUCCCAAAGUGCUGGGAUUAUAGGUGUGAGCCACUGCACCAGGCUGGCGUUUUUAUUUUGAAGUCCUGUUUGUUUAAUUUUAAUCUGGGGAAGCUAAUUCUGAGGGCUAAACUGGGAUGCUCUUCUUCAGAUAUUGGCUUUCUUUUGUUGCUUUCACCAACCUGGAGCUGCUACCAGGCUGGCACUGCUCUAACCCCAGUGCAGGAAUCUCAGGCUUGGUUCUCUUACCUUCUAGUGAUUUCAGUGGGUUUUGCCAUUAUCCCCAAGGGGCAACCCCUGAUUUCCUAUUCUUUUACUGCUCACUGCCUCUAGUUCUGACUUCAGGGUUUUUUCCCUUUUGUUUUGAUUUCUUGUCCUUGGAGAAUUUCAUUUAUAUCUUGUGAAUUCAGCCUUGCAUUAAAAUGUAUAGGGUGGUAACAGAUUAAUUAUGCAGGAGUUUGGCUCCUGAGCUAAUUAUGUGUUUUACAUUUUUCUAGGUAGGGAUUCAGUAUGAUAUGAGGUAGAUGAUAAAACAGCAUGGGGAAAAUUUAAAUUUCUACAGAGAACAGAGGAGAAAUACAGAUAAUUUCUCACUAGCAUACCUAGGGUAUUUGUGGCCACUCUUCAUACUUAUUCUAAUUUAGCUGGAAUCUAGGAUUUUUUAGCUAUACUGCCAGAAGCCUCCAUGGUUUUCUUUUUUCCUCUCUAUGCUUUGGUUUAGAUAGUUUCUAUUAACUGUUUUUUAAAACAAAUUAGUAAAUUGUACUGCAUUUUAGAGCAGUUUUAGGUUUACAGAAAAAAUUGAGCAGCAAGUACAGAAUUCCCUACCCGUAGAGUUUUCACUAUUAUCUUGUAUUUGUUACCACUGAUGAACUCAUAUGGUUACACUGUUAACAACUGAGUACAGUUUACAUUAGGUGCCAUGCUUUUCUAUGGGUUUUAGCAAAUGCAUUUAUAUAUCUGCCAUUUUAAUGUCAGAAUAGUUUUACUCCCCUGUGCUCCACCCAUUCAUCCCUCUCUUUUCCUCCAUCCCCAAUCCUCUGGCAGCCACUGAUCUUUUGACUGUCUCUACUGCUUUGCUUUUUCCAGAGUCUUAGAUACUUGGAAUCACACAGUAUGUAGCCUUUUCAGACAAGCAGCUUUCACUUAGCAGUAUGCAUUUAAGAUUCAUGGCUUUUUAAGGUUUGAUAGCUCAUUUCCUUUAUCACUAAAUAAUACUCCAUUGUACAGAUGUAUCACACUUUGUUCAUUCACAUCUUGGUUGCUUCCAGUUUUGGAAGGACAUCUUAGUUGCUUCCAGUUCUGGCAAUUAUAAACAAAGCUGCUAUAAACAUUUGUGCAUAUUUUUGUGGACAAAAGUUUUUUUUAACUCAUUUGAGUAAAGACUAAGGAGUAUGAUUACUGGAUCAUAUGGUAAGAACGGUUUAGCUUAGCUUAGUUUACCUUAUUUUCUACUAUGUAUCUUUCAAAUUCACAAAUCCUACUAUAUUUAGGGUAUAGUCUGCUGUUAAAUCCAUCAAAUGAGCUCUUAAUUUCAGGUAUUGUACUUUUCGUGUCUGGAAUGUUCAUUUGCUUCUUUUACAUAAUUUCCAAUUCUUGGAGGCCGAGGCAGGCGGAUCAUCUGAGGUCAGGAGUUCGAGACCAGCCUGGCCAACAUGGCAAAACACCGUCUCUACUAAAAAUACAAAAAUUAUCUGGGUGUGGUGGUACACACCUGUAGCCCCAGCUACUCAUGAGGCUAAGGCAGGAGGUUCACUUGAACCCAGGAGGCGGAAGUUGCAGUGAGCUGAGAUGGCACCACUGCUCUCCAGCCUGGGCAACAGAGCAAGACUCCAUCUCAAAAACAGAUGAGUAAAUUCCAAUUCUCUAUUAAAAUUCUCCCUUUUCACACAUUUUGUUCUUUUCCUCUACUUUCAUAAAUUUUCAUGAUAGUUGUUUUAAAAUCCUUGUCUGAUUACUUUUACAUUUGAAUAAUCUGUGGGGUCUGCUUCUGUGUUUUUUUUUUUUCUCUUCGUCAGUUACAUUUUUCUGCUUCCUUGCAUGUUCCAUAAUUUUUUUUAAGUGUACAGCAGACAUUCUAUUUUUAAAGAACCAUAAAGACUGAAGUUGGUCAUAUUUUCCUCCAUAGAGAGUUUGUCCUUUCCCUGCUGAGUAGGGUGAGAACUCAUCACUUUAUUAGGAAUUGAACUGGGCUAGGGCUAGGAAGCCACCUUGAUUAGAUUCAGUGCCCUGUAGUUUCAAAUGUCUACAGAAUGAGGCCUGCCAUAUGUUUAUUGUGGACUUGUCUUUCUCAGAAUUUUGUUUCCAAGCAUAUCAAGACUAUGAAAGGGGCCAGACUCUGUGGCUCACACCUGUAACCCCAGCACUUUGGGAGGCUGAGGUGGACCAACCGAUUGAGCCCAGAAGUUAGAGGCCAGCCUGGGCAAUAUGGUGAAACCCUGUCUCUUGUAAAAAUACAAAAAUUAACCAGGCGUAGUGGUGCAUGCCUGUGAUCCCAGCUACUCAGGAAGCUGAGCCUGGAGGAUCACUUAAUCCCAGGAGGUCGAGACUGCAGUGAGUUGUGAUUGCACCACAGCACUCCAGCCUGGGUGACAGAGUGAGACCCUGUCUCAAAAAAAAAAAAAAAAAAAAAAGACUAUGAAAGGUUUAACCUUGUCUUUCUCGCCUUCCUAGCCCCACCUUCCACCCUUCCAUGCUGCCCUAGUACUCAGCAAAUGCCCCAUAGGGCAAACUGGCCAUGCAUUUGGGGGUUUUUCUAGAUUCCAAUCCGUCAUGCCAUCCCAAUGGCUGUCAAAAUGUCUGUUGGAUUCUCUUUCCUCUAGUAGAGAUGCCAGUACCUUUAGCAGGGCCCAGUCCUCAGCUCUCAUGUUUGAGAAAUGACCUCAGAGAAUAAGGCCAGCUCACUCAGGAAAUGUUUUUCCUUCUUAAGAAUUUUAGUUAAGCUAAGUCAUUGCUUACAUCGGUCUCCAGUGUCUUCAAAGAAAAAAAUAUAUACAAUGUGCUUACUUCCUAAGUUAUGGUGGAGUAAUGGCUUGCUAUUGCUAUGUCCAAAAAGCAAAAGCUCCAUUAAGUUUUCAAUUUUAAUUAUUAUAUUUUGUUGUUUUUCAAAAAUGCAUUGUCAUUUGGUGGUUAUGAAUUAUAAUUAUGUUUAAAAUUUUUUUCAUUUAUUUAUGUAAACAUAUCAAACAGCUUUAUAUUCUGUAUCUGAUAGUUCCAGUAAUCUAAUAAUCUUUAUAAAUAUUUCUAUUGUUUCUGCUGACUCUUGCUAAUGGUGCUUUAUUCCCCUAUAUUUUUCAUGAUGUUUAUGUAUGUGUGUGACUUUAUGCUCAUUAAAACUAUAUGCAAAUUAUUCAAGGCCCUAAAUGUAAAUUCUUCAUGGGAGAAUUUGUGUUUGUUUCCAUCAGACAUGGGGACACUACCAAUUUUGGUCUUCUUUAAAUUAAAAUUCUCAGCUUAUACAGUU
rnacentral:lncRNA from 1 species